CUUGGUCAUUUAGAGGAAGUAAAAGUCGUAACAAGGUCUCCGUAGGUGAACCUGCGGAGGGAUCAUUACAGAGUUCGUGCCCUCACGGGUAGAUCUCCCACCCUGUGUUAUUAUACCUUUGUUGCUUUGGCGGGCCGCAAGCCUGGCUUGCCUGGAUUCGCGUCCGGCGUGCCCGCCAGAGGAUCCAAAACUCUGAAUGUUAGUGUCGUCUGAGUACUAUUAAAUAGUUAAAACUUUCAACAACGGAUCUCUUGGUUCUGGCAUCGAUGAAGAACGCAGCGAAAUGCGAUAAGUAAUGUGAAUUGCAGAAUUCAGUGAAUCAUCGAAUCUUUGAACGCACAUUGCGCCCCUUGGUAUUCCGGGGGGCAUGCCUGUUCGAGCGUCAUUAAUACCAAUCUAGCCCGGCUAGGUGUUGGGCUUCGCCGUCUGGCGGGCCUUAAAAACAGUGGCGGUGCUCUUCAGCUCUACGCGUAGUAAUUUUUCUCGCUAUAGGGUCUGUGGAGAUGCUUGCCAGCAACCCCAAAUUUUUUCAGGUUGACCUCGGAUCAGGUAGGGAUACCCGCUGAACUUAAGCAUAUCAAUAAGCGGAGGA
rnacentral:rRNA from 1 species